rnacentral:rRNA from 1 species
AUUGAACGCUGGCGGCAGGCUUAACACAUGCAAGUCUAGCGCCUCGUCUGACGGGGGAGUAAUGCCUAGGAAUCUGCCUGGUAGUGGGGGAUAACGUUCGUAAAAGGGCGCUAAUACCGCCUACUUUCAGAUGAGCCUUGGUCGGCUUAGCUAGUUGGUGGGGUAAAGGCCUACCAAGGCGACGAUCCGUAACUGGUCUGAGAGGAUGAUCAGUCACACUGGAACUGAGACACGGUCCAGACUCCUACGGGAGGCAGCAGUGGGGAAUAUUGGACAAUGGGCGAAAGCCUGAUCCAGCCAUGCCGCGUGUGUGAAGAAGGGCUUCGGAUUGUAAAGCACUUUAAGUUGGGAGGCGUUACCAACAGAAUAAGCACCGGCUAACUUCGUGCCAGCAGCCGCGGUAAUAC